CUGGGUGUGGCGCAGCUUGGCUAGCGCACUAGCAUGGGGUGUUAGGGGUCGGAGGUUCGAAUCCUCUCACCCAGA
rnacentral:tRNA from 1 species